CGGAGUUUAGCGCAGUUUGGUAGCGCGCCUGCCUUGGGAGCAGGAGGUCACAGGUUCAAAUCCUGUAACUCCGACCA
rnacentral:tRNA from 1 species